AGUAAAGAAAUUGUCCACGUAUAUGUACAUUGGGGUCACAGAUAUACUUAUACCAAUGUAUUUGAAACUCUUGAUAAGUAUAAUAGAGUUAUUGGCUUUGCUCUGUCAAACCUCCGAUUCUUUAUCGAACCAAUUUUGUCUCUACCGCUCGCAUUCACUAUUACCUACUCGGGUUGCAUAUAAAUUGUAAUAACAUUUUGGAACUUUUGAAAACUUCGAGCACCAUUGUCGAGACCGGAUUGCAGUUCUCUAAAAUGAUAACAACCGGGACGAGUAAGGACGUGGUGUAACUUUAACUUGCUUGUUAUAAAUUUCCUUUGAAUUUGCGAUAUUUUUCGGUUUGAAAUUCUCAUAUUAUAGCCAAGCAUAAUAUGACUAGGGCAACUAACGUCAAUCCUGAUUCUCUAAACUAAAUUUAGAGUAUUUGCAUCAUAUUCUUCUUGAUAUUGCUGAAAAAAGAUGAAAAAUAAUUUUUAGAAUAUAUUUAUAAACUUUGGUGCUACUGCUACCCUACUCUACUUUAAACAGUAUGCUCAAGACUGGCACCUAAACUCACGAGUUUUGACAGUUUUAAAUUAAGUUUGUCUGACCUAUCUUGUUACAUUGACAAGAAAAAGAUGCAAAUAUUCUAAAAUUUGUUACCUACUCAUCAGAAUCAGUACCAAUUAACUGAAAGAGUCUACAAAACCAAAGUCGGCGGUUUAAGCCGGAUUCGCCAAGCAAAUAAACCGUGAAGCGAUGUAAUGCUGGUCAUAAUGCCGGUCGGGCUUUGGUAUACCUACCAAGCCUUAACAUUUCUGCACCUUAAAGAAGUUCAAAACUAAAACCCGACUAUUCCUAUUAAUAAAUGCUGACUUAGAAUAAAACUUGAUACGAUACCAAAAAAAUGAGCAUCCCACUUUUUUGGAUGUAACAUUUGCCAUGUUAAUUUUGUUCAUAUUAAGUGUAACCCGGACUAUAACAAAAAAUCGAUUGACACCUAAUUCAUCAAAAUCGGCCCAGUAGUUUAGUUGCUGCGGUGGAACAUACAUACAUACAUAGUGCACUGAACUUAGGACCUUAAGAAUAGCGGGAAGUGGCUGGAAGAAGAAGACGGAGGACCGUGAGGUGGCAAGUUCUCAGGAAGGCCUAUGUCCAGCUGUGGACACAAACAGGCUGAUUAAUUGAUUGAUACAUAUUAUAGUACAUACUCGUACAUAUAUAGAGUGCUAUAAUCAUAACCCUUUGGCUUUGCCGUAAUCGAGUAAAAAUAAAAGCACUCGCUCAAUAUUAAUGCUCAGUAUUCAAAAUUUUAAUCCAAUCAAGAUGUAAUUAAUAUUCCUGAUUACAAAAUAAUUGUAAAUAGUUAGUUUAAAAUAGUAUAUAAGUAAGAUAUGAAAAUGGUUGUAGCGAUAAUUUAUACCGCUUAAAACACUGUUGUAGAUAACGAUUUUAUAUUUUGUGAACAUAAAACCGGUCAGAUUUACGUAGGCUUAAAUAUUAAUAUGGGUACGACUUUGUUUAAUCCUAAAACACAUUUAAGUGCAUUAAUGCUAGUACGUACUCAAGCAAUUUUAACAAAAUAUGAAAUAGAUACAUCGUACAAUACUGACAAAAUGAUGACCAUGGUUGGGUCAUACAUACAUAUAAUAAAGAUACUCGCCUCGGAUUUCUCAGUCCCUGUCGAAGAAUUACUGGGGCUUACAUACUUUGCGAUGUCCGUUUAUCCGCUUUUAUGCUUUUAAAAUAUGAGUUUAACUCACGAUAGUUGUAAGUUGUAAUAUAUUUUGUACGUCUUGUUGCGUUGAAAUGUUGUUUGUAUUAAAAUUGUCUCAGUGAAUAGAACCAAAGAACAAAAUCGUGUGCUAUAUAAAUUGGAUAUUAUUACCUGUAUUGUCAUUUGAACAAAUUGUUGUAAUUUAAUCUAGUUUCAUAACAUGAAAUAUAUUCUUUAUGUCAAAAACGUGGUACCUAUGUAACUUUGGUCUUUGAUUUCAAUCUAUGCGAUAAUCAGUACCUACCUACUCUUCACCAGGUAUGUAAUUUUCAAAACUAGUAUGUAUUAUGAUUAAUGGGGUAUUAUACCUAAUAUGUAGGUAUGGCUCCCUGUGGCUCUAUGUUGCUGUCUCUUGCCUACUUAGAAGUAGGCAGAAAGUAUUGACCUAACUUAACGCUUUUUAUUUGCAAUACGCCAAUAAUCUUAGUAGAUUUUCGAUUUCAUGUUGUAAAAAUUCAUUAAAGGAUUUUUCAUUUCAAUUGUUAAUAAGAAGAUAGGGUUCAUACUUCCAAUGUAAGUACAAAUACCACCCAAUUCGUAGCUACAAUGCAUUUGGCAGCAUUUUCUUUUUUUUUAAAGGCAGCUUUUGUAGGAUGUUUCAUAGUUAUAAUACCUUUCGUAAUUUAUAAAAUAUUUUAAGAUUUUUAUAUUAUUUGCAUGAUCUCUAAGUUUAUCAUAAAAUUCUACUUAUACUUAAUGGGAAACUUUGUAAAGUAUUUUUCGUGCAUUUUUAUUACUGGUUUAGUAAAAAAUUUAUACACUCUUAGCUACGACUAGGGUUACCAUUUGUGAAGUCGGACAAUCCCGAAAAAUAUAUUAAUUCCCAUUUAUCUAAUGAAGUUAUUGCAAGUGAUCUUAAAAUAAUUUAAAUGUAGGCAUAAUAAAUGAUUGAGGAAAUAGAAAGUAAUGUUCUAAUAAAAGUUCCGUUAUUACCCACCAGAAGGCAUCGUAGUGGUAUUAAUGUUGAAUUGUUGUUGUAAAACGUUUCAGAGGCCCAGUGUAACUUUUUAAGUAACCUGAGUUUACCUGACGUGACAUUAGCGUUGAGCUAAAGUCUUAGCGGGAAACAAACAGUCUUUCAAAGGCAGAUUAACGUAAUUUUGGUGUCAAGUUUUAUAACGUAUAAACUUAGGUACACUCAGGUCAAUUGAACAGUUAACGUUGACCAGAAUUUUUGCUAUUCCAGCAAUUUUAGUCGAUUUUCACAAUCGGAAAAGUCAGUACGUCUGGUCACCCUCGUAGCUAACUUAAACAAGCCAAUCCAACUAGAGAUUACUUUUGAAAACGGAUUACGGCGCGAGUUCAGUUUUAUCGUUUAACUUUUGACAAGCAAUAAACAUUAAGAGCCUAUGAAGUGAAACACGUCGACGAUUCAAAUACCCAUCUUUGAGAUUGUGGGCUAUGAUCUUUCCUUUAUCUCUAUUCGAUAUGGUUGUUACACUGAAAGGAUCCCAUAAAUCUUUUAAGUUGAAUAUUUGUCUAGCUACUGUAAUAUUCUUAAAAGACAAAGAUAACGCGUGUAAUUUGAUUCUCUUACAUCUACGUACUUUAAGAGGAGUUUAUCCGUAGAGUGCUUCAGACAAACAUACUUUAGUAUAAUAUAUCCAAUAAUAAAAACUCACAUAAAUUUUGCUGAUAAUAUGUUCUAGAAACUAAUACUUAUCUGUGUUUGUGGUUUACCAGAUUUCCGUUAAAUUAUUUAGUUUCAAAGUUACUUUAAAACUUGUUAUUUUUACUAAAAUCUGGCACACCACAGACAGAUAAUUAUAGUACCUAAAAUGUCUGCAAAAUUCAUUGAGUUUGAAAGGUUGAUGUUCAAAUGAGAACCAAACUAAGUUUGUAUGGAGAGUGCAGGGAGAGAAACUUCUCUUAGAUAAAGUUAUCAAAGUUUUUCAACAAUCUGUCGCCAUCAUCUUAUCGAUUUGGCAUUUAUAUUAUUUAUUAACAUAGGUAGCUUCAAAGUUUUUUUAUAAAUCAGUAUUCUCAGAGUUGUGUUCAAAUUCAAAUGUCCUGAAUUCUUGAAAGUUAUGGAUUACUUAUUUUUACUAACGAUAAUAAUAUUUGAAAUCAAUUGUACAUAAUACUGUACAUACUACAUUGUGCUUACGUAUUAUAAAAGCAUCUAUAUUUUUAUGAAUCGGAGAGUGUAUCUAGUGAAGUCUUUAGUUUUAAAAGAAAAAAUAUGUACCUAACGUAGGUUGGCUGAGAAAAGUAAAAUUAUUCUGAAAUGACAAUAGUAAGCCAGUAUUAUAAAAGAGUUAGUUCGUGUAUUCGUAGAAUGUAUGGCGCAUGUCUAAAUUUUAAUGUAGGUAUGUUAUGAAAUUAUCGUAAACAAUCUCACAAAAAAUAACAAUUCCUUACUCGUAACAAUAAAAAUCACUUACAAUCAGUGACCAGUGACAGUGCGCGUUGACCAUAAUAUUUUCACAAGUAAUUUCCAUGAAGUCAACUAAUUAAUUCCAUUUUCAAUUAGUUCAUAGUUAAUUUCUUUUUUAUUUUGUGCGCAAAUUAAGUAGUUGUAUUGUAUUUAUUAUAAUUAAUUAUCUACCUUCUGUAAAUUAUGAAGACGGUUGUUACAUUUUGUAAUUUUAUAGCAUUUUGUUUUAUCCAAUAUUUCUAGACAUGGGGGGUCAGCUAUUAAUAAAUGAUGUGAAUAUUAUUAUUCUUAUUUCAUUCUUUUUCUAGUGCUCAUAUUAUUAAACUUUCAAUAUGUAUAUUUUAUAGAGUUCCGUAGCGUAUAGGGUAAAGCGACCUUAUUGAUGAUGUCACGGUGGUUUUUAUCUAAGUUUAAGCCUUUCAUAAGAAUAAUUUAAUAUGUUUAUUUACAGCUAGUCAGAAAAAUAUUAUUAUUUUAUACGCUAUAAUUUUAAGGAUCACUUAUACUUAUAAUUUAUAGACUAGAACUGUUUGUUGUACCUUCAUAUUUGCAGCAUAAUAAUAUUUCUCUGACUGAUUAUUCUGAUGUCAAGAUAGGCAGUAUGGAACUCUAAAUGCAAGUGCGUGAUUUUUUUAAAUAUGCAUUUUACCACUUGGGAUGUUUUAAUUUUUGGCAUUUUUAUAUAAAUUGAAAUUUUUAUCUGUGUAAAAAUAAUUUUUUAAAUACAUAAUUAUUUGUGUUUAUAAAAUUCAUUGAAAUACGUUUAAGUAUUGAAUAACACUAAAAUAAAAUGAAAAUGCAUAUGAAAAUACUAAACGUAAUCGUUCUAAUACUGCACUCAAAUAAAAUGUAACUAAAUAUCUCUAUAGAAAUGUAAAAACUCAAUAAAUAAAAUAUCGUAAUUUAUAACUUACUGUAAAUAUUGUAUUAGAAUAACGCGAAGGGAGCGUAAGCCAUAGGAAAUUGUAAGCCGUUCAUAUGAAUGUUCGUGACUUGUUAAUAAUUUAGUUUUACUAUACCUAGAGUUUAUAGUUUAUUAUACAGCUGAUGCAUCGCGCAUGCAUGCAUUCUAGUACCAAAAUCUAGUGUUUAGUUUUUUAAGUUUCCGACUGAACCAAAAUAUUGUAGAUACGAGUAUGUGUGUUAACAGACACUGAAAUAAAAAAUAUAUGAAAACA